CGGCCCGCCGAGGCAAACAUAGGUUCGCAACACGGUGGAGGUUGGGCCCCGAGGGGCCCGCACUCGGUAAUGAUCCUAUCAUCCUGAGUAAGAAUAGACGAGGACGGGCCCCUCGGGGCCCAACCUCCCACCCGUGUUGCCCGAACCUAUGUUGCCUCGGCGGGCCCCGCGCCCGCCGACGGCCCCCCUGAACGCUGUCUGAAGUUGCAGUCUGAGACCUAUAACGAAAUUAGUUAAAACUUUCAACAACGGAUCUCUUGGUUCCGGCAUCGAUGAAGAACGCAGCGAAAUGCGAUAACUAAUGUGAAUUGCAGAAUUCAGUGAAUCAUCGAGUCUUUGAACGCACAUUGCGCCCUCUGGUAUUCCGGAGGGCAUGCCUGUCCGAGCGUCAUUGCUGCCCUCAAGCCCGGCUUGUGUGUUGGGCCCCGUCCCCCCCGCCGGGGGGACGGGCCCGAAAGGCAGCGGCGGCACCGCGUCCGGUCCUCGAGCGUAUGGGGCUUCGUCACCCGCUCUAGUAGGCCCGGCCGGCGCCAGCCGACCCCCAACCUUUAAUUAUCUCAGGUGACCUNGAU
rnacentral:misc_RNA from 1 species